UACAAGGCAGACGGCUCAGUAACACGUAGCCAACCUACCCUAUGGACGGGGAUAACCUUGGGAAACUGAGGAUAAACCCCGAUAGAUCAUUAUACCUGGAACGGUUUAUGGUCCAAAUGAUUCGUCGCCGUAGGAUGGGACUGCGGCCUAUCAGCUUGUUGGUGAGGUAAUGGCCCACCAAGGCUAUUACAGGUACGGGCUCUGAGAGGAGAAGCCCGGAGAUGGGUACUGAGACACGGACCCAGGCCCUAUGGGGCGCAGCAGGCGAGAAAACUUUGCAAUGUGCGCAAGCACGACAAGGUUAAUCCGAGUGUUUCCUGCUAAAGGAAUCUUUUGCUAGUCCUAAAAACACUAGCGAAUAAGGGGUGGGCAAGUUCUGGUGUCAGCCGCCGCGGUAAAACCAGCACCUCAAGUGGUCAGGAGGAUUAUUGGGCCUAAAGCAUCCGUAGCCUGCUCUGUAAGUUUCCGGUUAAAUCCAUUAGCUUAACUGAUGGGCCGCCGGAAAAACUGCAAAGCUAGGGAGUGGGAGAGGUAGACGGUACUCGGUAGGAAGGGGUAAAAUCCUUUGAUCUAUUGAUGACCACCUGUGGCGAAGGCGGUCUACCAGAACACGUUCGACGGUGAGGGAUGAAAGCUGGGGGAGCAAACCGGAUUAGAUACCCGGGUAGUCCCAGCUGUAAACGAUGCAGACUCGGUGAUGCCCUGGCUUGUGGCCAGUGCAGUGCCGCAG
rnacentral:rRNA from 1 species